AUGCCAGGCCCUUUUGUGAGACCCUCUGGGUGCAGUGAUGAGCACGUCACACAAGGGGGCACCUGCCUCCAGGAGCUUAGGUUCUAAUGGGGGCAGGUGUCCUACGGCUUGCCCUUUGAUUCUCCAAAAUGGAAAUUAUGGGGUAAAAGAAAGGCUGGCAGAGAAGGCUCUUUCUCUCUCUUAUUUCUUGUCAAAUACUGGGCUGGGAAAAUUCCAGAUUUAACUGUUCUGCUCUGGGCCUCUGCCUCUUACCACAGAAGUCAGGAUCUGACUCUCCAUCCCAAACGCUCCGUCUCACUCCGUUGAAGCUGGAGUCCAGUAAUGCCCACGAGGCCGGGCACAGCCUGGCCCCCAGCUUGACCAGUCUCCUCCCAUUCUCCCCCUUGUCCCUCCACUGCUGCUGCUACACGGGCCUCCUUGCAGGUUCUCAAACGUGCCAGGCAGGGUCCUGCCUCAGGGCCUUUGCCCUUGCUGUUUCCUCUGCUAGAAUGCUCUUCCCCAAGCAUCCAUGUGGCUCUCUGCUUCACCCCUGUCUGGGCUUUGAUGAAAUGUCUCCUUCUCAGCGAGGCUUUCCCUGACCUCCUAUGACUCCCCCCAACCCCAAUAUUCCCUAUGCACACUGCGACUUAAGUUUUCUCCAUACCAUUUAUUAUUGCCAUCUGGCCAACUAUAUCUUUUAUAACAUGUUUCUUUCUUAUCUGUCUCUCCCCAUGAGAAUGUAAACUCCAUGUGAGCAGGGGUUUGGGCACAUUUGUUCGUGCUCUCUCCCCAGAGCCUGCAACCUGCCUGGUGCACUGUAGGCGUCAAUAAAUAUUUGUCAAGUGAAUGCUGAGUGCUGGCUCUGAGUGGCACGUAUCCCUUGGUGAUGGGGGCUGAUGACAGGGGGGUCCCUGACUUUUAGGCCUCAGCUGGGCCGCAGCUGCCGUAAACCUGUCAAGGGCUGGAGGCCUGGGGGCGGGGAGGAGGAGACGGCAGGAGUGUUCUGGUUGUUUUUGCUCUCUUCGGGACAGAAGUUGAGUGGCUACGGUAAUAUCCGCCAAACUCUUGUGCCUUAGUUGGGAGAGGGAGAGGCAGGUUUCUCCCUUUGAAAAAAAUUAUUAUCGUACAAAAAUAUACCAAUCAAAGUGGGGGAGGUGUUGCUUCUCUCUCAUUCCUCCCUACUUCCUCCCUUUCUUUCUUUCUCUCUCUCUCUCUCCCUUUCUUUUUUCUUUCUUUCUCUCUCUCCUUUUUCCUCAACUACCCACCCCAUCUCUAACAACCACCAAUCUGUUCUCUGUUUCUGUAAGUCUGCUUUUCUCGGAUUCCUCAUGUAAGUGAGAUCAUACAGUAUUUGCCUUUCUCUGUCUGACUUCUUUCAUUUAGCAUAAUAUCCUCAAGGUCCAUCCAUGUCGUCGCAAAUGGCAAGAUUUCCUUCUUUUUAUGGCUGAGUAGUGUAUAUACCACAACUUUAUCCACGCAGCCAUAGUUGGAUACUUAGGUUAUUUCCAUAUCUUGGCUGCAAUAAAGAUGGGACUGCAGAUAUCUCUUCAAGAUAGUGAUUUCGUUUCCUUCAGAUAAAUACCCAGAAGUGGAUCAUAGGGUAGUUCUAUUUUUAACUUUUGGAGGAACUUCCAUACUGUUUUCCACCAAUUUACACCAAUUUACAUUCCCACCAGCAGUGCACAAGUUUCCCUUUUCUCCACACCCUCGCCAACACUUGUUACCUCUUGUCUUUCUGAUGACAGCCAUUCAGACAGGUGUGAGAUGAUAUCGCAUUGUGGUUUUGAUUUGCAUUUCCGUGAUGAUGAGUGACGUUGAGCAUCUUUUCAUGUGCCUGUUGGCCGUCUAUAUGUCUUCUUUGGAAAAAUGUCUACUCAGUUCCAAUGCUCACUUUUAAAUUGGAUGAUGAUGAUGAUGAUUAUUGUUAUUUGCUAGUUUUAAAACGUUUUAUUGGGGUAUAGUUGAUUUACAAUGUUGUGUUAGUUUCAGGUGUACAGCAAAGUGAAUCUGUUAUACGUAUACAUAUAUCCACGCCUUUUCAGGUUCUUUUCCCUUAUAGGCCAGUACAGAGUAGAGUUCCCUGUGCUAUACAGUAGGUCAUUAUUAGUUAUUAUUGUUAUUUGCUAUUGAGUUAUAUGAGUUCUUUACAUAGUUUGGAUAUUAACCCCUUAACAGGGAUAUGAUUUGCAAAUAUUUUCUCCCAUUCCGUAGGUUGCCUUUUCAUUUCGUUGAUGGUUUCCUUUGCUGUGCAGAAACUUUUCAGUUUGAUGUAGUCUCACUUGUUUAUUUUUGGGAGACGUUUGUGUUUCUGAACAGAGGGUUCCAGCGGGGGUUUGCAGGGGUUACACAUUCUCCACCAGGACGCACGUGCAGUACACCUUCUGGAAGCCCACAUGGGCCUUGGCCACCUUGUCAGAAUCAUCACCCGGUCUUUAAGUCCCAACUGUUCCCAGUAGAAGGAAAAUGUUUUACCCAUCCAUUCCCUGCCCCACGUGCAAGAACCAGCCCCCUGGGGACUCCUGGGUUUGGGUAAGGCCGCCUUUUCAGCCCUAGGGAUGAUGUCGCCUCAGUGUUUACUGAUUUCUAGAAUACCUCUGCUUUCCUCCUUUGUUCUUUACACCUUCAAUACCCACACUUUCAGUUCCUUGCGUUGAAUCCUCUCUGUUUGAAAUGCCUAGCCUGGUUUCUCUUUUCCUGACCAGAUCCCAGCUGAUACAUUAAAGAAGGGAAAAUCAACAGACAAAGCAGGUUGCGCUAAAUGCUCUGAAGAACACAGGACAGGAUCUACGAGACAGGUACUCUGUCUCCCAGAGCUUGCCCGAGACCACACAGCCUGAACCAGGAUUUGCUCUGCUGGCCGCUUCUCAAUUCCUCUGACUUCGGCCUCCAAGGAGGGCGUGUUGCCCAGGGAACUGAGAUGAAGAAACAACUCCAACGUUGCCCAAGGUCCCACGGGGAUCAGUCACGUGGUCGGCCACAACAGAGGAUUCCCCAUGACAGGGGACCACGAGUUGGAUCCUGGUCAGAAGCCAGAAGCCCCUUGAGGGCAAGGAUCCCAUUUUACCCCAUUCCUCCCUGCUGUACCUAGCACAGGGCACAGCACGUAGCAGGUGCUCGAAAAGUCCUUCACGAGUAAAUCUGGCAUCCCUCGGUA